rnacentral:lncRNA from 1 species
GAUUUGUGAAUUGAUGACAACGAUGACGUUCCGUAUCAGUAAUAAUAACGCUCUAUCAAGGCAUAAGAAAUCUGUUUGACCUUUUUAUGAAAUUUUGAACAUGUUUGAACAUUUGAAUAUUUUGUUCGUUCGAAAGUUGCAAGUGUCCGCAAAUUAAUAGUUUUGUAUCUAAGACAUAAUACAAAGUUUUCAGAUAGCCAGUUAAGGUUAUGGAAUAAGGUUUUUCUACACAGUGUGUAAUUUGGGCAAACGAAGAAGUAAUGGUAGACAUCCUCAAUAUCGGACCCGCAAUGGCAAGAAGGAUCAUUUAUAAUGUUAGCUCUAAAUAGGUCAUUGUUUAAGAAUGAAGCGGAACAUCGGAAUUGCGUUAAGAUAAUAU